rnacentral:rRNA from 1 species
CGGGGUUAGUGGCGGACGGGUGAGUAACACGUGGGAACGUGCCUUUAGGUUCGGAAUAGCUCCUGGAAACGGGUGGUAAUGCCGAAUGUGCCCUUCGGGGGAAAGAUUUAUCGCCUUUAGAGCGGCCCGCGUCUGAUUAGCUAGUUGGUGAGGUAACGGCUCACCAAGGCGACGAUCAGUAGCUGGUCUGAGAGGAUGACCAGCCACACUGGGACUGAGACACGGCCCAGACUCCUACGGGAGGCAGCAGUGGGGAAUCUUGCGCAAUGGGCGAAAGCCUGACGCAGCCAUGCCGCGUGAAUGAUGAAGGUCUUAGGAUUGUAAAAUUCUUUCACCGGGGACGAUAAUGACGGUACCCGGAGAAGAAGCCCCGGCUAACUUCGUGCCAGCAGCCGCGGUAAUACGAAGGGGGCUAGCGUUGCUCGGAAUUACUGGGCGUAAAGGGCGCGUAGGCGGAUCGUUAAGUCAGAGGUGAAAUCCCAGGGCUCAACCCUGGAACUGCCUUUGAUACUGGCGAUCUUGAGUAUGAGAGAGGUAUGUGGAACUCCGAGUGUAGAGGUGAAAUUCGUAGAUAUUCGGAAGAACACCAGUGGCGAAGGCGACAUACUGGCUCAUUACUG